rnacentral:misc_RNA from 1 species
UGGUGGUGGCUUAUCGGCGCC